rnacentral:lncRNA from 1 species
AAACAGUUGUCUUAUAGUGAUUCUUUGUUCAGUCAUUCCACUGGGAGUGGGAGGGAGAUUGUGGGCCAUGCAUCAGGAAUGCAUAUCCCCUUUCAUUGGGGAUAAUCCCACAAGAGCCUCUUCCCUGAGACACAACAAUCAUGGUGGCCUUUAUUGGGUGCUUUUACAGUUGGCAAAAAUGUGUCCCUGUGUCUACUAAAAGCUCUCAUUAUAGAAGUUUUGAUUAUCAAAGUAUUACAUUAUUAUAGACAAUUUUUCCUCUAUUGAUAACAGCUAUUUAAAGAUAUGGCACAUUCAGAUCUGAACUUAGGCAGCUAACAAAACACCUUUUGAAAAAUGUAUAACAAAAAUUACUUCAAAUAUGGCGAGCCCUUCACUUUGAAUUUAAAAUUACUUGUUUUAAAACACGGAUGAGUAUAUUCUUUGGUAGGCUUCUAAAUAGAAUAUUGAAUCACCCCUGAAACUUCAUCUCUGGAAGCUUCUGUUAACCUUUUUUUUUUAUAUCAGACAAUGGUAUAUAACUUUUAACUCUCGAUAGGAACUAAUUCUGAAGCAUCAAAUGCUUCUGAAACAGAAUCUGACCACAGAGACGAACUCAGUGAUUGGUCAUUAGCUCCAACAGAGGAAGAGAGGGAGAGCUUCCUGCGCAGAGGAGACGGACGGCGGCGUGGAGGAGGCGGAAGAGGACAAGGAGGAAGAGGAAGAGGAGGAGGUUUCAAAGGAAAUGACGAUCAUUCCCGAACAGAUAAUCGUCCACGUAAUCCAAGAGA